ensembl:snRNA U6 U6 spliceosomal RNA
GUGCUCACUUCAGCAGCACAUAUACUAAAAUUGGAACAAUACAGAAGAUUAGCAUGACCCCUUUAUAAGUUUAAAAAAAAAAGAAAGAGAAAUGAAAGCCUCCUUC